rnacentral:misc_RNA from 1 species
GAUUGAUGUCUCUUAACCUGAAAAUAAUUUUAAAAAUAUGUUUAAAGUGUCUACACAGAAUCAUAAAAUUAUAGGCAGUGUCCAUUUUACUUCUUUAAUAUUCUAUUUUCCUCAACAAGAUGGGAUUGGAUUACAUGAAUGUGUGGCAUUAAUGGUUGCAGUUGAUGCAGGAAUGUCAGUGGGGAUCACAUAAUGACUUUCAUCAUGAAGCAAUUGCUUUUGUAUGGCUCAUAUUUUUAUACUGCAUGGUUUUGUUUGAAAGAGUUAAUUAAUUCUCUCUUAUUGCAAACAUUGUUCAGGG